rnacentral:lncRNA from 1 species
GAGCUGGGUGACUCGAAGCCUGGGUCUUGCACGGCGAUUCGAGUCUCUAAGUAAGACUAGGGAAGUGGUGCGCGCUUGACGCUCAGUUGUCAGUCGCCAAAUUGAUGGGAAUAUUAGCAACCUUUGUGCCGUUUACCCCGUGACUGCAGGUCUUUCCUAAAAUAGCUUUUGAGGUAGAACAACUGCAAAUGGAAAUAAUAGAGUCCAGUGAAAUGGCUGAUUCUCUAGGGGAAAACAGCCCGAUAUAGGGGUGGCCCGUGGUUCAGCCUGUCUAAUCCUCUGAUGUGUGCGUUUCCUUGCAGAUCUAGUUCCCUCAGAUUCUCCUAGUUGCUGACUCUAAGAAAGAGGAACUAGGAAACACGAACCAGUGGCCGUGGCAGGGCAGGCCUGGAGCUGUUUGGGCAAUAAAGGUCAUCUCUGUGGAGACAGACGGAAAAGGUAUACAUAUGGGAAGCCAGUGAAAGGAGAUAUAAUGCUUACAUUUUUACCUCUGUCGUUUUGGGGAGAGAAGAAAAAUAUUACAAAAAAAUUUAAGGUCAAGGCCACCCGUUCUGAUACCAAUCGACUGACUCCUGAAGAAAGAAACAAUAAUGUAGUAAUAGCAGUGACACAGAGGAACAUACCAGUUCCUGGACCAGGUGGAGCAGUGGAAAUCAGGAA